rnacentral:rRNA from 1 species
AUUUGAAUUUAGCGGCGCGAUUCCCCCUUUUCCGGUUGUCCCGCCGGAGGCCAUUGCUAUCGGAGUCCGAUUUAGCCAUGCUAGUCGAGCGAGGUUAGCCCUCGCGGCGAACAGCUCAGUAAUACGUGGCCAAGCUACCCUGCAGAGGGGGACAGCGUCGGGAAACUGACGGGAAUCCCCCUUACCGGUCUCACGCUGGAAUGCCAAGACCGACUAACGCUCCGGCGCUGCAGGAUGCGGCUGCGGCCGAUUAGGUAGUCGGUGGGGUAACGGCCCACCGAGCCGAUAAUUGGUACGGGGUGUGAGGGCACGAGCCCGGAGACGGAAUCUGAGACAAGAUUCCGGGCCCUACGGGGCGCAGCAGGCGCGAAACCUUUACACUGCACGAAGGUGCGAUUAUGGGACUCCGAGUGCGAGGGCUUACACUCCUCGCUAUUGUGUACCGUAGGGUGGUACACGACCAAGAGCUGGGCAAGACCGGUGCCAGCCGCCGCGGUAAUACCGGCAGCUCUGGUGAUGGCCGAUUUUAUUGGGCCUAAAGCGUCCGUAGCUGGNCCUGCAAGUUCCGUCGGGAAAAUCCACUCGCCUAACGAGUGGGCGUCCGGCGGAAACUA